GAUGAACGCUGGCGGCGUGCCUAACACAUGCAAGUCGAGCGAUUCUCUUCGGAGAAGAGCGGCGGACGGGUGAGUAACGCGUGGGUAACCUGCCCUGUACACACGGAUAACAUACCGAAAGGUAUGCUAAUACGAGAUAAUAUGCUUUUAUCGCAUGGUAGAAGUAUCAAAGCUUUUGCGGUACAGGAUGGACCCGCGUCUGAUUAGCUAGUUGGUAAGGUAACGGCUUACCAAGGCGACGAUCAGUAGCCGACCUGAGAGGGUGAUCGGCCACAUUGGAACUGAGACACGGUCCAAACUCCUACGGGAGGCAGCAGUGGGGAAUAUUGCACAAUGGGCGAAAGCCUGAUGCAGCAACGCCGCGUGAGCGAUGAAGGCCUUCGGGUCGUAAAGCUCUGUCCUCAAGGAAGAUAAUGACGGUACUUGAGGAGGAAGCCCCGGCUAACUACGUGCCAGCCGCCGCCGUAACAC
rnacentral:rRNA from 1 species